GAGGAAUAUUGCACAAUGGGCGAAAGCCUGAUGCAGCAACGCCGCGUGCGGGACGAAGGCCUUCGGGUCGUAAACCGCUUUUCUGGGGAAAGAGCAAGGACGGUACCUCAGGAAUAAGUCUCGGCUAACUACGUGCCAGCAGCCGCGGUAAAACGUAGGAGGCGAGCGUUAUCCGGAUUUACUGGGCGUAAAGCGCACGCAGGCGGCUCCGUGAGUCGGACGUGAAAGCUCUCGGCUUAACCGGGAGAGGCCGUUCGAUACUGCGGGGCUUGAGGUAGGGAGAGGAAUGCGGAAUUCCCGGUGUAGUGGUGGAAUGCGUAGAUAUCGGGAGGAACACCUGUGGCGAAAGCGGCAUUCUGGCCCUCACCUGACGCUGAGCUGCGAAAGCGUGGGUAGCAAAC
rnacentral:rRNA from 1 species